AGCUCUCGGAGAGGGCAAAUAUCAUUGGAUUUUCCCGCCAUUUUGUGACUAGGGCUUCGAAGUCUCCAGUUACUUGAUCUCCAGUCCUCCAUCCUCAAUCAAUUCUAUAAUCAAACCAAACGUUCGGGGAAGUUCGGGGAAGACGCACUCUGUAGCCAGACCGUGCCGCCAACCGCGUCGUCUAUUGCUGACGCCUACGUUUAUCCACGACCAGGAUGGGGAGUGCUACAGAAGAUCUUUCUCAGUUUGAUCUUUCAAAAGAGGAAAAGGACAAGCUUGUUGCAGAAGUAAUCCGUUAUGUCCUUUUCAAAACCCACCAAAAUUCAGGGUGCCCAAUUAAGAGGGAUGAGCUUACUCAACUGGUUACUAAAAACUAUCGUCAGCGUGCUCUUCCGUCUCUUGUGAUUAAUGAGGCUAAAGAAAAGAUUUCAAGCAUUUUUGGCUAUGAGAUGAGGGAACUACAAAGAUCCCGUCCUUCAUCAACAAAUCAAGGGCGUGCUUCCCAGCAAAGUGUUGCAGACUCAAAAUCCUAUGUCCUCAUAAGUCAGCUACCUGCCGAUGUUUAUAGAAGAUAUGUUGAGGAUGUAAAUAUGACACAUCUGACUGGUUUCAAUUUCGUCAUACUUAGUAUUGUACAUCUAGCUGGUGGCAAAAUCCCGGAAGAUAGUCUUUGGCAUCAUUUGAAGCGAAUGGGAUUGUCUGAUAGUGAUGAAAUCGAUCCCAUUCUUGGAAACGUUAAGCAGGCAUUGGAGGCACUUGUCCAGCAAAGAUAUUUGCAGAAGGAAAAAGUUAGUGGUCCUGAAGCUAAUACUUUUUAUGAGCUCGCUGAGAGAGCUUUAGAUGAACCAGUUAAUGAGAGGCUUAAAGAAUACAUAUCACAGGUACAUGUGUUGAUCCUAUGAUAGUUAUCCUAUAGUUUACGGUGAUAAAUUAUUUCUAAGUCAAGGAACACGUUUGUGAAGCUGAUUGUGAAGAAAGAUGUCGCCUCUGUGGAUGUUGACUAGUGUUCUACAAUUCUCUAUCAGCUUACAGAGUUGAGGAUUUUGGGGAAUUAGGAUUUUUGUGAAUUGAUUGUUGAAUGGUGAUAUGGAGGACCUGCUUAUCUGCACACCAUUGAGGGAGGUUAACUAACAGGUGGAAGAAGCUAUCCGGCUUGGCCAAUUCUCAGCCUACCAGGAUAUCUUUUUCUGUUUUAAAAUGCCAUCUAUCUAAUUUAAGGGGUCUAUGUUUAUUAUAUAGAUCUAGGCGUCAAAUAUAAUCUUCUCCAUUUCAACUUUAAAUGGAUGGUAUACAUGUAGACUAGGGUAUUAUUGACAACUAAAAAUUUAUCAACAUAUUCCCGUAAAUGCACAUAAAACAUUACUAUCA